rnacentral:rRNA from 1 species
CCUCCCCCUUUUUUUACAAAAACAUGGUCUUUUGUUUAUAUAAAAGAUCUGACCUGCCCUGUGAUUAUAUUUUAAAUGGCUGCAGUAUUUUGACUGUACAAAGGUAGCAUAAUCAUUUGUCUUUUAAUUGGAGGCUAGUAUGAAUGGUUGGAUGAGAAAUAUACUUUCUUUAUUUUAUAUUAAAAAAUUAAUUUUUUAGUCAAAAAGCUAAGAUUUUUUUAUAGGACGAGAAGACCCUAUAGAACUUUAUUUACUUUUUAUAUAAACUUUUUGGAUUUUUAUAAGAUUAUAUAUUAAUGUUAAUUUAAUUGGGGUGAUGGAAAAAAUUAUAUAACUUUUUCUAUUUUUUACAUUUAUUUAUGUAUAAUUGAUCCUUUAAUACGGAUAAUAAGAUUAAGUUACCUUAGGGAUAACAGCGUUAUUUUUUUGGAGAGUUCUUAUCGAUAAAAUAGUUUGCGACCUCGAUGUUGGAUUAAAAUAAGUAUCAGGGGUAGAAUAUUGAUUACUAGGUCUGUUCGACCUUUAAAUUUUUACAUGAUCUGGUUUCAACCGGGAAGG